rnacentral:rRNA from 1 species
GAUGAACGCUGGCGGCGUGCCUAAUACAUGCAAGUCGAGCGAAUGGAUUAAGAGCUUGCUCUUAUGAAGUUAGCGGCGGACGGGUGAGUAACACGUGGGUAACCUGCCCAUAAGACUGGGAUAACUCCGGGAAACCGGGGCUAAUACCGGAUAACAUUUUGAACCGCAUGGUUCGAAAUUGAAAGGCGGCUUCGGCUGUCACUUAUGGAUGGACCCGCGUCGCAUUAGCCAGUUGGUGAGGUAACGGCUCACCAAGGCAACGAUGCGUAGCCGACCUGAGAGGGUGAUCGGCCACACUGGGAAUGAGACACGGCCCAGACUCCUACGGGGGGCAGCAGUAGGGAAUCUUCCGCAAUGGACGAAAGUCUGACGGAGCAACGCCGCGUGAGUGAUGAAGGCUUUCGGGUCGUAAAACUCUGUUGUUAGGGAAGAACAAGUGCUAGUUGAAUAAGCUGGCACCUUGACGGUACCUAACCAGAAAGCCACGGCUAACUACGUGCCAGCCGCCGCGGUAA